rnacentral:rRNA from 1 species
GCCUACGGCCAUACCACGUUGAACACACCGGUUCUCGUCCGAUCACCGAAGUUAACCAAUGUCGGGCCCGGUUAGUACUUGGAUGGGUGACCGCCUGGGAACACCGGGUGCUGUAGGCA